AAAUACUCAAAAAAUUAGUCUCAGUUCGGAUUGCAGGCUGCAACUCGCCUGCAUGAAGUCGGAAUUGCUAGUAAUCGCGGAUCAGCAUGCCGCGGUGAAUACGUUCUCGGGCCUUGUACACACCGCCCGUCACACCAUGAGAGUUGGCAAUACCCAACGUACGUGAUCUAACCCGCAAGGGAGGAAGCGUCCUAAGGUAGGGUCAGCGAUUGGGGUGAAGUCGUAACAAGGUACC
rnacentral:rRNA from 1 species